AAAAAUAAAAAGGGCUUGGGAUAUGGCUCAGUGAUUUAGUGUCCCUGGGUUCAAUCCCUGGUUAAAAAAAUAAAAAAAAAAAAUUUAAAAAAAAGGAAGAGAAGGAGGGAGAGUAAAAGACUUCUUUGGAGGUUCCAUUUCCAUUUUGACACAUUGAGCACAAUAAUAUAACUUAGAUUUUAGUCUUUUUGUUUGGUGAUUUUGAGCAUGUUAAUGGAAUUAACCAAGGUAAGAGGCUUUGAAUCAACUAAAGGAGUCACAAAGAAGCGCUUAUCUAAGAAAGGGGUAACAAAAGUGGGAAGACAAGAACAAGUAUUCGAGAAACACUUGGAAAUAACUAAAUAUAAAGUUCAAAUCACCAGUUCAUCUGAUUUCUGUCUUUGACUGUCAUUUGUCUUUGGUGUUUGCUACUUGAUCUUGUCCACAAUUUCUAUCUUAACUUACCAGAUCCCUGGCAUGUCUAAUAAAGGAAGGGUUUCUUCACAUCAUUUCUCUUCCAAGAUGCUGAGGAUGGGUAGAUACAAUUCAGCUAGUAUACCCGCACCUCCCCCCACACACACACACAGUCAGAUGUUUUUAAACAUGACCGUUGGUCACUCUCAAGAGAGUAUAUUAAAAUGGGUGAGUGACCAUCUAUUGUGUUGACUCUAAACCCCUUCAAGUUAGAUACUUAUGAAUAAUAAUGAUGAGUAAACAGUCAGACUGGCUAAAUACUCAAUAGUCUUCUGUGAUAUGCAAAGGAGAUUAUGCAACCAAUGGAAUAUUUUUGAGUGCUGAAUUGAUUCUGAGUAUUGGGUUACACACUGUAAACUGAAAAUCUAUUCAAGUCACUACAGUCUCUUGAACUUGAUAUCUUAAAUGACUGUUUAUUCUUCCACUGUAAGAAUAACUUAAAGAUUAUUCUCCUACAGCAGUUUAUGUAUUUUAAACUUUCACAGAAAUAUUUAGACCUACACUGAUAUUAUGAGCAAUAUGACAAAAUAGUCCCUUUAUUUUUCUUCAGCAAUUAUUAAUAUUUUUCCAAAUGUUUCCAACCUUUUAUUGGCCCUUAUGUUUUUAACUGAAUAUUAUACAGCAAAUAUCAAAUGUGUUAUUUGAAAAUAAUUCUGUAUGUAUCUCUAACUGAUAAGAACUAUUUUGUCAUAACAAACAUUCCUUUGUUAUAGCAUAAAUCCUUAAUAUUAUGUAUUAUACAUCCUAUGCACAUAUGUCACCAAUUGUGUCAGAGAUAUCCCUUUAUGGUUAGUUUAUUCAAAUAAGGAUCCAAACAAGAUUCACACAUCCUUUUUUGGCUACCCUGUCUUUAAUAUAUCAUGAUUUUGUUAUUUGGUUGUUACGUCUGCAAUAGUCUUCUCUUAAUUUGUCUCAACAUUUAUUUAUUGGAAAAACAAAUUUUAUUUCAUGGGUUGUCAUACUUUUCUACUUUUAAAACAAGCCUAUAACUCACUCAACAUUAUUCAGCUAUUGCAUCCUGAGUAAUUACUAUGUAUAGGACAUUGUACUAGGUGCUAGGUACGAUUCAAAGAUAACUAUAAUUUAUGGUCUCUAUCUCUAAGACUUUACAAUCUGGAGGAAAAGGAAAACUAAAAAUGCACAUCUAUAGUGACAAAUAGUGGCAAUAUAACUUAAGUGGUAUUAAUACUAUAGUUUUAAAGGCAGAUGUAUGCAUUAGAAGAUGAGGUCAGUCUUUGUUGUGAAAGUCAGCCAGUGAGAUAGAUGUGUUAGAAUGACCAGCAGUUCAAAAAGUUUGUUUGGGAGGGCAUUAAAAAGGAAGUUCAUUUUAUGAUUAAAAAAACUUGGGGGAGGGGGAGCCAUAAAUCUGAGUGGUGGGAAAAGAGAGAUAUUUUUAAGGGGUUAUUAAAAUAAUUCAGUGAAAGAAGAACAUUUGCAAAGGAUAUGCCUAAAAGAUAAGUAGGGGACAGGUUUGUGAGGAUAUUAAAUGACAGGCUAAAUAGCAUGAACACUGUCCUCUAGAACAGAAAAUAACUAGCUCCAUCCAUUUUUCCUUAUAUGGGAGACUUGCUCAUUAUGUAAACCUAGAUAUUUCAUUAGCAAGCAAAAUACAUCAGCUCAUUUCAUAAGGGAACUUAAAAAACUGUUGAUGUACUCCAAUAGCAUCAUUUUCAAAUAUUUAUAGCAAAUUGGCAACAUAAUUUGAUGUUUUAUUUUGCCCAACAGCCAAGAUUCUCCAUUUAGAGGAAAACAAAUUGAAACUGAUUUAACCAACACCUAUUACAUGGCAGCUGAGGAAAACUUCAUAAAGCAAGAAGAAUGAAUGUAACACAGUAAAGAAAACAACUACUCAAUAAAUUCAACAUAUGAGAGAUGGGAGAUGACUCUAGUGAAGAUAGGGAUACUAGUUAUGCAAACCUCAAACUCUAAAUUUUCAUCUCUUAUGAAAAUUCAGUGGUGUUUAUAAUAUGUAUGUUUUCUACCAGUUGUAAAUAUGUAUUAGCCCCAAAAUUUUCUUUACUAGAAUAAUGCUAAUUGAGUUUCAUUAUUAAAAUAUUCUCACAUGAGAAUUAAAUCAAAAACAAAAGAAAUUAAAUUAAAGAAAGCAUACAUUGAACUUAGUUGCUUUAUUGGUAAGUAUCUUCUUUCUGUAUGUUCAUUCUUUAAUAAUUAUUGGACAUGGUAUUCUACAUCAUUAUAUACCUUUUCAUGUUAUUGGGUGCCCACAUAUGCCAGAAUUUGUGCUAGGUUUUAGAGUAAAAUUGUACACAAGAUAUAGUAGUAGUAUUCCAGAGGCUUGUAUUCUAAUAUACAUGAUCCAACACAUAUGUAUAGAAGUAAAAUUAUGGGCAGGAUUGAAAUAAAGAAAGGGAUUAGUUUAAAGUUUCUCAGCAGCAAUACUACAGACAUUUUCAAUCAGCUAUUCCUUGAAACUUCUUAGUGGUAGAGAGACAUCACCUCCUCAAUUCUGAGAACCAAAAUUGUCUCCAGAUAUUUCUAAAUGUUCCCUGGGGACUUAGUACAAAUUGCCUGCUGUUUUGAGCCACUGGAUUAGAUGGAAAGUGCUAUAUGCACUUUGCUAAUGAAGACAACUUCCAGGUGAGGAAAUCAAGGACAGUUGAUAGAGGUGUAGGGGCUGAUGUGACUAAGUGGAGAAGAGAAAAGCAUUUGGGAGGAAAGAAUAUAAUGAAUAGUGGCUAAACUUAAGAUGGAAAGGCAGUGGGUAGAUAUAGAGUAUGGUCAGGAGUCAUAUAUAGAACUUAAUGUUUGGGACGUGGUUAGUUUUAAAAAAUUGCCUGAUACUGUAAAAAGCAAUCAAAUGAUUGAAGUCUUUGAAUAUAAAACAAGGAGUACUUUUUUUUUUUUUUAGUUUCGUAGACAUGUCAUUUGAACACAUAAGGAAAAUGUAUAAAGCAUCAUUUUAGAAAUGUUAAUGUGGUAUUUGUGGAUAGAAUGAUUGAUCAAUAAGAAUAAGUCCAUUGAGAUAUAGGAUUCAGUUGAGGACAAACUUUGGCAGAAGUUUAUAUGUGGGGCUAUGUAUGUCUCAGAAUGAAGUCAGAGAAGGGGAAGAACAAGUAAGGAAUUCUAUUCUGUAAUUUGCUUUUAUGUUUGACGUCAAUUGUUGUUGGCAUUGUUUUCUCAGAGCGAACACUUCUUGAUAGAGCUGAUUGGCAGAUGUGCCCAGAUUCUCUAGUACUCCAGCAAGUGGAAAGUGGAAUGAUGCUUUCCUCCAAAAAGCAAUCCUGCUCACCACGGAAGACACUGGAACCAUGGAAGGCAUUGGAGUGGGGUCUUCACCAAAAACGUCAAUCAUUCACCUGUUUUUAAUUUCACCUGCAAAAAGUGUUCAAUGGCUCAAACAGAAGUCAACUUUGAUUCACCUGUGGUCUUCAGUGAAAACCUAUCAUAAACCUGUAAAUUUUUAAAAUAAAUAGUAUUUAAAAUAUG